ACGGCGGUCGGACAAUCGUCUCGGACUCUGACCUUUUUUCCAAUCUGCGAAUGUUAGCUGAUAUACAAAUAAAAAGAAAUAACACGGCCGGGCUGCAUUUGUAGGUGCGCAAUAUUUUCCCCAAGGGCGAGCCUCGCGUCCGUCUUGUGACUGUCGUAUGGGAAUCUUAGAACUUCUCAAGUGUUAGGGUGCAAAAGUAAGGUACUGGAGAGAUCGUCGCUGGAUUGUUUUGAAAUUUAAAUCAAAAUAAAAUUACGAUUAGAAAGUG